UACGUAGGGUGCAAGCGUUAAUCGGAAUCACUGGGCGUAAAGGGUGCGCAGGCGGUUAUAUAAGACAGAUGUGAAAUCCCCGGGCUCAACCUGGGAACUGCGUUUGUGACUGUAUGACUAGAGUACGGUAGAGAGGGGUGGAAUUCCUGGUGUAGCAGUGAAAUGCGUAGAUAUCAGGAGGAACAUCGAUGGCGAAGGCAGCCCCUUGGACCUGUACUGACGCUCAUGCACGAAAGCGUGGGGAGCAAACAGG
rnacentral:rRNA from 1 species